UCAGCCUCCAAGUACUAGAAUUACAAGUGUGAGUUGCCAUACCCAGUUCGUACUUUAUUUUAAACAAACAAACAAACAAAAAACUGUAGUCCAAGGGAACUUUAAGAAGGGAGCUCUCCAAGGGGAAGCCAAGAUUCCUGCCUGCAAUGCAACUUGCUGAAGGAGAGGUGAUUUCAGUUGAGAUUAUAGAGGUCACAAAACUGGAGAUCAGGAUGCUUGAUGAGUAGCCUACUGGGGUCAAAGGCCUCCAUUGCUAGAGGCAGAAAAGAUGUCUGCAUCAAGGCAAGAGAGGUCAUGUUUGGAGGCCAGUAUGGGAUGAUGGGGACCAGUGCUCAGGGUGGCUGGAACCUCCGAGGGAGGACAGUGCUGCUGAGCCCCACCCUGUGACCAGCUCAGAGAUGUGAAGUACUUAGUACCCGGCAUAGAACAAGCCUAGCACUGUACAGUGUUUUGUUAUUAUUUGUAGGAAGCAAUUAAAUGUUCCUCCAGCAGAGAUAAAAGGCAGUUCUAGGCAGAAGUUGCUGCAUUCUGCACAUGGGCAAAAGCCAUUAUAUCCUUUCCUUUUUUCCCUCUCAUUUUCUCCCUUCCAAGUCCUUGGAGCAGCCUUUGAGGACAGCUGGAUCCUGCUGAAAUGUCAGUGGCUCACCAAUCAGCUGCCUGGCCUUGGACAAACCUGGGCCUCAUCUAUGAAAUGGAAACGUUCAAAGCGGAAUGACCUCCAUGGAAGUGCUUGUUUCACCAGCGGACUGGCUACAGGAAACAAAAGGGCACAAGUAAAGUGACUCUCCUGCUAAUCACAGCAUCUCUCCUAGCAAUCUGCCCUUAGGUUGCCCAAGGUCUACUUGAGCCAAGGAGCUGAAACAGAUGGAGAGGAACUCACUCAAGGUCACACAACUGGCUAGCAAGAGAGCCAGGCAGCCUGCUUCUCAUCGGCAGUCUCGGAGAAUGAGUCAAUGAAUUCGCAAACGAGGAAGCAAGGAAGCAUCCACGGAACUGUACCCGUGUUGAAGGGUCUGACCGGCUGACACUGGUGAGGAUGGCAUUAAUGUUGAUGGAGAUGGUAAGGAAGACAUCCUCCCCAGCCCCUCUGCUUCCAGCUCUCCCGUGAGAGUGCUUUGUUCAGGCACAAGCAUGAAGCAGCCGAUGUUGGGGGAAGAGUCCGGAACUCUGGCUUGCCUCGUGGCAGCCUUCGAUAAACCCUUUGUCCUCUCUUGGCCUCACCCACUACAUACAAGGGAUGGCUAGUGAAAUCAGACUUGGGAGGCCGUUCAGCUUCCACGCCUCAAGCCUCUCCUUUCAGAUGAAGCAAAAAGCAAGAGGCUGAGCUCUGAGGUUCUGGCUGUGUGGUCUCAGGGGGUCCUGGAAAGAUGGGAAGUCAGGGUGAGCAGGCUCCAAGCUUAGUCUAGAAGAUCUUGGAGUAAGGAGUGGGUACAGGCCUCACCCCUGUGCCUGCCUUAAACCAUCCCAACCUUCCCAAGAAGAGCUGGGGCAGAGCCUGGCUCUUGGACUGGGAACUUGCCCAGAGACCAGCUGACUUUUCAUUUUGCAGUCAAGGAUGCAGAAGCUAGGGAACAGAGAGAAUCCCAGGCCCUGUAGCCAUAACAACUCCACCUCUCUGUCAGCCCUUCCCACCACCCUUGCUCUGAAGUCCCAGCAGCCAGGCAAAAGGGUGUGUCCCAAUUCUACGUCACAGAAAGAGAAACUGUGGACCAUGGAGCUGGUCCAGUAGGCUCUCUAGCUUCUCCCUCAGGACCCUGUGUCAUCCUGGGCCACAAGUCAGCAAACCAUCAUUGGGACAUCAACCCAGUGAACCAUGGGUUUGGGGUCAGGCAGUUGCUUAUGACUAAUUCUUAUGUCCAAGGUAUUGAGCUGGUCUUGGGAAAAUGACAAAAUAUGUGUUUUCCUGACUGUCUGCUGCAGCCUCUGGCUCUGAGGAACACCCCCAGCUCCAUCUCACCCCUCAUAAUACUCCUCAGCUCCAGGCUUACCUCUGCUCAGAGUUAGUUGUAUCUUAGAAAUGACUGACGGAGACUUCAUAAAUGGGACUGUGUUGUUUGAAUGCGGUUUAUUUGUCUUAAACUCACAUUGAUAUUUAAAUGGCAUUAGAAGACAGUAAGAGAUGGGACCUUUAAGGGUAAUUAGGGCUCCACUCUCAAGAAUCAUCCACAUGAUCAAUGGAUUAUCUCAAGACCAGUGGUUCUUAACCUUCCUAAUGCUGUAGCCCUUCAAUACAGUUCCAUGUGUUGUAGUGA